UUGAGGUUUUAACUUCUGUUGUGGCAUUGCUCAGAACUUCCAAGGGUGGAUGCGGUAUUUAAAAACUGAUCCACUUCCCACUAGAGGGUACGUAUUACAGAGGAGAAGGCAACCAUCUUCAUUACUAAACAUUUGUUCUGUAUAAGCAACGGUAACAGAAACUAAGAAGAAAGCAUUAUAACCUGACAAGACUGAGAAUGGAGUGAGAGCUUAACUCCUUACACUUGAACUUCAUUAGCAUUUUUCUCCUAAUCAUUCUUAUUUUACUCACAUGUGCCUGUUCUUUUCACCAAUCCCAAUCAGCCAAAUUCUUCUUUAAGGAUUUAGAAGCACUCAGCAGUACUCACAUUUUUGUUUCAGGACAAACCUUUGAAUUGUUCUCAUCUCCUGCUCUCUACUUCCUUAUGUUGUGAAGAUAGCUGGUAAAGGGAAAGCAUGUGCACUGACUCUGAGGCAUACAGAGCUGAUGUAAUUUCAUGGCAAGAAGACUCCUGCUGCCCUUAAGAAUACUCAGGACUUCAGGAAGUCUAACAAGCUAGAAGAGUAGCAGAGUGGCUAACUAGGACUCCUGGACCUAUCUGUACUUGAAAUGCUCUGUUUAAAGCUUAGAAUCCUUGCUCCUCUCUGCGUGUAAGUCUGGCUUCCCAUUCCAACCAAAAGCCAGUUUUCUACAAAUGGAUCAGGAGUUGGUCACAUUCUUGGAACAGACUGAGCUUUGAGAGAUUGGUUUUCUAUGUGAAACAUUGGCACCCAAUCUGCUGUUACGCUGCAGGAAGGAGGCUUUUGGGGUUGUUUCUCUGGCCCCAGCCCAAGUGCAUGUACACACAACCACGUUGCCAAAUUCCCCCAGUUGACAACAGAGAGAUGGGAGGGAAAUGAGGGAGCAGAAAAAGAAGAGAAAUAAGUCCUAUUUUUUCUACCUCUAGGCUCUGAAAAAGAUCUUGGCUGCUCUACUUAUAGGAAAGAUACAAUUGCAAUUAAACUCCUAACAAUGUAGCAUACCUGUUAAAAACAAAUGAACAAACAAAAACAUAUUUCCAUAUCUUUUAUUGUCUUGUAUCUUUGUACGUGGACUCUGUAAGUCCUACUUUAAAAUGGUAAACUGCUUCUGUGUUCAGCCUUGUAUGAGAAGAAUAACCCACUUUCGGGAAGCAAGACAAUUCGGCCACAAUAUGUCAGAUCAGUCCUGGGAUUAUCUUCCACAGACACUCACCUCUCUUCCCCUUCCCCAGCCCAAAUUCUGCCAACAGCAUCACACUAUGCUGAUUGAAUACCAGUAAACUUCUGUUCGUUAGAGACUGGGCUUAUAAUGCAAACACCGCAGUACUGCACAGUUCUCAUUUUAAAUGAAGAUCCAGAUUUAGGUUCUUUUGAGCAUCUAGAGCUUAGAUGUCAUGAUAUGCUUAACUCUUCCUUUCAUAACUGAUAUAUAGCAGUAAGAUACUUUCAUCUCCCUUGUCUUAAAAAGCAUAAUCUGGUAAAUCCCAUCACUAAUGUAGAAAGCAUUAAGCAAAAAUUUACUUUGCUCACAUUAAGGAAAGUUACUCUUUGUCCUGAAGUAAAUUACUUUUCUUCUGUACUUCAAUGGAAACUGGGUUGCCAGAAACCUUAUAUCCGCUCUAUAGCAUGAAACAGCAACUGCAUGUAAAGACAAAAAUAUUUACUGCCAUUCAUGAAUAAAGAAUAAAAUGGUAGAAUCCAUUCUUGAUAUUUAACCCUAAAAGUUCAUGUACACAAAAAAUGAGAUAGGAAGAUUCAAACUCUGGUAUUCCUUCCCCUGCCCCUCCAAACAUUCAGGAGUGGAAGUGAUCAUCAGAAGCAGAAAAGUAUUUUGAUCUUUGUUACAUUGGGACUAUGGAAUCUAAGCAACUAUUUUACAAGGCACUGUAAUUGUUUGUACUUGCAAAACUGGAUUAAGAAAUCACUGCUAUUCUUAA